GCCUGAAUAGCUCAGCUGGUUAGUGCGCGGUGCUGAUAACACCAAGGUUGCAGGUUCGAUUCCCAUAUGGGACA